ensembl:miRNA microRNA 142
GCGGGAACAUCAGUGCAGUCACUCAUAAAGUAGACAGCACUACUAAAGGUCUCUACACAGUGUAGUGUUUCCUACUUUAUGGAUGAGUGUACUGUUUGCUGC